GCUACGUUGGAACUCAUGGCAACCCUCCUACCUCAUCCUCCCAUGUACUCCGGUGGCCGGUGUGAGUCACCACGCCCUAUUUUCUGGAAUCUCUGCUCCAGAAUCCAGACCUAGGACUUUGGGCCGGGAAGAAGGGAUCGGGUGGCCUGGGAGGGCCUCUCGAGAUGGAAGCCAGACAUGGUGGCACAUGCCUUUAAUCCCAGCAUUUGGGAGGCAGAGUCCAGAGGAUCUCUGAGCUCAAGGCCAGCCUGGUCUACAGAGUGAGUUCCUGUGACAAGGAAAGAAACUGUGGUGUCCUGAGUCCUGAUUGUCAUCUUUGAAGGCAGAAGGCAGAUGAU
ensembl:antisense